AUUGAACGCUGGCGGCAGGCCUAACACAUGCAAGUCGAACGGUAACAGGAAACAGGUUGCUGUUUCGCUGACGAGUGGGGGACGGGUGUGAAAUGUAUGUGAAACUGCCUGUUGGAGGGGGAUAACUACUGGAAACGGUUGCUAAUACCGCAUAAAGUCGCAAGACGAAAGAGGGGGAGCUUUGGGGCUCUUGCCCUCGGCUGUGCCCAGAUGGGCUUUGCUCGGUGGUGGGGUAAAGGCUCACCCAGGCGCCGAUCCCCAACUGGUCUGGGGAGGUGAACAGGCACACCUGGACUGAGGCACGGUCCAGGACCCUACGGGGGGGAACAGUGGGGAAUAUUGGACAAUUGGCGCAAGCCUGAUGCAGGCAUGCCGGGUGUAUGAAGAAGGGCUUCGGGUUGUAAAGGACUUUCAGCUGGGAGGAAGGGAGAAAAGUUAAUACCUUUACUCAUUGACGUUACCCGCAGAAGAAGCACCGGCUAACUCCGUG
rnacentral:rRNA from 1 species